ACGGAGAGUUUGAUCCUGGCUCAGAACGAACGCUGGCAGCGUGGAUUAGGCAUGCAAGUCGAACGAUGGUUUGAGCAAUCAAACCAGAGUGGCGAAAGGGUGAGUAACACGUGGGUAACCUACCUUUGGCAUCGGGAUAACAUGUCGAAAGACGUGCUAAUACCGGAUACGACACCGGGGACUUUGGUCCUUGGGGUGAAAGAUGGCCUCUACUUGUAAGCUAUCAGCCGAUGAGGGGCCCGCGGCCCAUUAGCUAGUUGGUGGGGUAAUGGCCUACCAAGGCGAUGAUGGGUAGCUGGUCUGAGAGGAUGGUCAGCCACACUGGGACUGAGACACUGCCCUGACUCCUACGGGAG
rnacentral:rRNA from 1 species